UAGGGAAUCUUCCACAAUGGACGCAAGUCUGAUGGAGCAACGCCGCGUGAGUGAAGAAGGUCUUCGGAUCGUAAAGCUCUGUCUUUUGGGACGAUAAUGACGGUACCAAAGGAGGAAGCCACGGCUAACUACGUGCCAGCAGCCGCGGUAAUACGUAGGUGGCGAGCGUUGUCCGGAUUUACUGGGCGUAAAGGGUGCGUAGGCGGAUGUUUAAGUGAGAUGUGAAAUACCCGGGCUUAACUUGGGUGCUGCAUUUCAAACUGGAUAUCUAGAGUGCAGGAGAGGAGAAUGGAAUUCCUAGUGUAGCGGUGAAAUGCGUAGAGAUUAGGAAGAACACCAGUGGCGAAGGCGAUUCUCUGGACUGUAACUGACGCUGAGGCACGAAAGCGUGGGUAGCAAACAGGAUUAGAUACCCUGGUAGUCCACGCCGUAAACGAUGAGUACUAGGUGUAGGAGGUAUCGACCCCUUCUGUGCCGCAGUAAACACAUUAAGUACUCCGCCUGGGAAGUACGAUCGCAAGAUUAAAACUCUAAGUGAAUUGAC
rnacentral:rRNA from 1 species